UCUAUCCGCCUUCGAAAUGACAUGGCAACCCACGUGAGGCAGUGACAGUUCGCCGGCUCCAUCGGGAGAAAAAGUAGAGUCUCCGCCGCCGAUCCCUCGCCGGCAGAGCUCGCCACCGGCCUGCGCGCCGCCCGUCCAUGGCGAACCCGAGGAGGGCCAUCGCGCUGCAAAUCAACACCCAGACCCCGCCAUUCCCCGCCGCCGCCGCCGCGCCCUCGUCCUCCCCGCUGCCCUCGUCGCUCCUCCACUUCCUGAAGCGGCCGGCGUCCUUCCCCUUCCUCCUCUCCCUCUUCGUCCUCCUCACCUGGAUCUCCCUCCACUUCCACCAACCCACCCCCUCCGCCUCCCUUCAGCGCCCCACCGUCGUCCACGACCCUCAGGCCAACCUCGUCCGCUACCCCGCCGCCCUCCAUCCCACCCCCAUCGCCGCCGACGAGCGCGGAUGGCUACUCGACCCCGUCGCCGCAGCCCGCGAGGCCGGCCUCCCAAAUGGGGCGCUGGUCUGUCUUUCGCUACACGUAGGAUUGAUCCAGCCAGGCGGUUUGCGUGGCAACCAUCGUCACCAUACAUGCAAUGAAACAUUUGUCAUCUGGGGUGCAAAAACAAAAUUCAGGUUAGAAAAUCCUGAUGUAAAAGAUAAAGGAUAUGGAGAAGCCAUAAUUGCUGCUGACGAGGUUGCCAUUGUUGCAAGCGCAAGAUCAACUGCACACGCAUUGAUCAAUAUGGAUGUGCGACCGACCUUCUUCUUGGGAUGUCAAGAUACACCUAUAAAUCCCAACAGUUCAAAUACUGACUACAAGGUCUGGAAAGAUCUCUGACAUCCACAUUGCUCCUAUGGUCUAACGCAUACGUCUGCCGAGAUGCUGAGCUGUUAACUGACAGAUCACAGAUGCCUCUUUAUAUUGACAAAUUGCUGAGCUAUGUGUCGUCGGGUACUAAUUUGCAGAGGCCGUCUCAUGCCUCCUUUUAUUGCCGAAUUGCAAAAUCAGAAAUGACCUCUUUGUGCAGAUGAAUUGCAAAAUCAUUCCCGAUUCUUCACUAUACUUUACUUAGUGAAACAGGGCCACGUAAACCAGGACACGUUGAUGUGCUCUCAAGCUUGGUCUGUGAUUUGGCUUACACCUCUCUGCCUCUCCUCUCUUCUCUACUGUUAGCUAUCAACAUCAUCGAUCGGCAAGUCGGGUUCGUUUUCCCACACGGUUCUUGCGUGCCACGGAUUUGUGACGACAUGUGGCGAUAUUCAUUGCAGCAAGAUGAGUGAGAUAUUUUAACCCAUGGGAUAUACAACUUCAUCCAAAAAGAUACUGAUACCAUUUCUCAUUUUGAAUUUAUGGAUUUUUUUGUACUAGGAUGGUUAUUUGAUUUUAGGCGUGGGGUGCUCCUCAAUCCUUUAAGAAAAAAAAAAUCGGUUUUGUAUGUAUGAGGCGAACCGCUAGAAAAUCAAUUGUGUGAAGAAUGCAACACAAAUUCUAUACCUACAGAGAAUACAAAUACGAUGGUGGUCCAGUAGGCUUGUAGUCUAGUGGAGGAAUAGACAAGCAAGCCAAUGAAACGGAGAGAAAAAGAUCAAAUACAGAGGCAGAUAUCUCGCGCUCCUGAAUCCUCGCACCUGAUAGGCCCGCUUCACAUUCACACCAUCCACACAAGCCCAUAAAGAAAAUAUUCUCAGACAAUACUCGCAAAAAAAUAUGUUCAUUAAUAAUGAGAAUAUAAUUAUACUCUAAAAUGAAAUAGCAAAAAAAAUGGAAAAAAAGAAAAGAGGGGAAGGGGAACCGGAUGCCCAGAAACUGGAACCAGGAGGAAAUCCCUAGUUCCCCACGCGAUCCUCUUCCUCUAUAAAGCCUGGCCCCCGCGACACAGAUGCACCCAGUCGCGCACUGAGACCCCCACGCCAUCAUCGCCCAUCAACGCGCAGCUCGCGUAACAUUUGCAGGCCCUCGUCGCCCCUUGGAGGUUUCGGUUUGCCAUGGCGGACCAGCUCAGCGAGGAGCAGAUUGGCGAGUUCAAGGAGGCCUUCAGCCUCUUCGACAAGGACGGCGAUGGAGAAGGGAGAAGAGGAUAGAGGAGAGGAGAGCGCCGUCGGCCAAGAAGAGCGCGGCAGGGGCAUCCGGUGCAAAGAGUGGCAGCAAAUGCAUAAUCCUCUAGCUGAAACCAUCGAACGUGAAUAGUGUGUGUGGUGCGCUGGUCCCCGCCCGACGCAUCUGAGCUGUUGUAUGUAUCAAUGUAUGUUCAUGUGUAUCCCGGUGUAUGAUGGCCAUCGGCCUACGACUGUAACCAUUCUCAAGGUAAACGAAUAAAAGUGCUCUCUGUUUGCAGAAAAAGAAGAAAGUGUAGAGACAAGGCGCGGCGGAGCUUGAGAGUUGAGACGUUAACCAUCACGGACAGGUCGAUAGAUUCCUCAAUUAUCAAAAAGAAAAAGAAAAACACGGACAGGUCGACGGAUCCACCGUUAGAUAUGGCGAAGCGCACGGCCGUCGGGUCUCGGCGUUGUGACUGGAGACUGGGCCUGUCUGCUGGGCCUUUGACGCCUACGCUGCUGUAACCACUUGAGCUGGCCCGGAAGGCCUCGCCCCCUUCGCCCUCAGGCACGGCGGGGGUCGCCUCGCCCCCGUUGCCGCCCACUUCGACACCACACCAGAGCACCGCCCCACGGCCAUCGAUCUGACAACAGCUUUGCUCUGCUGCAGCGAUGUGCUGCCCUAAUCUCCCGUACAGCUCGGGUUCCGAGGCGGAGGCGGAGGGGAGGAGGCGCAGGCGCUGCAGCUCGCCGACAAAUCGAGGAACUUCCCGUGGCGCGGACGGCGGGCGGGCGGGCGGCGAGAGUUAGAUGGAGUACCGGGCAAACGCUGGGAGGAUAUGGCAUGCAUUACCAGCGGUAGGAGGCUGGGCUCGGACUUGAAUCAUGGUGGCCAGGAUGAGAAGCAGCGCGAAGAUCCAUGUCAGCUUUGUACUUGCCGAGCAACUGAAGCUGGUCGCCAUUUGGUGUUGUUGGGUUCUUGCAAUGUCUGGAGGCAAGAGACAGACGGCUCGUGCAGUUAUAUGGCAGAGAAAGACAACUGACACGGUUCAGUAAUGAUUUUCUUUUACUAUUUUGGUUGACUAGGCCUCGGCGCUGGACUGACAAUGCUGAGAAAAACAGACCGUUGGGUUCCCGCGGUAGGUAAUUCUGGUGAAAGAACGGCAUGCAACUUGCAUUCAUCGAAAGAAAUGAGGGUGCAACUUGCCAUGGGAGUUCAAAUUUGCACGUCAA